rnacentral:rRNA from 1 species
UAGGGAGGGGGCUAGCGUUGUUCGGAAUCACUGGGCGUAAAGCGCGCGCAGGUGGCUUGGAAAGUCAGAGGUGAAAUCCCGGAGCUUAACUUCGGAACUGCCUUUGAAACUCCCGAGCUAGAGUAUGGUAGAGGUUGGCGGAAUUCCUAGUGUAGAGGUGAAAUUCGUAGAUAUUAGGAGGAACACCAGUGGCGAAGGCGGCCAACUGGGCCAUUACUGACACUGAGGCGCGAAAGCGUGGGGAGCAAACAGG